rnacentral:rRNA from 1 species
GACGAACGCUGGCGGCGUGCUUAACACAUGCAAGUCGAACGAGGUCCAUCCUCACUUCGGUGAGGUGAAGACCUAGUGGCGAACGGGUGAGGAACACGUGACGAACCUGCCCCGGACUCCGGGAUAACAGGGGGAAACCCCUGCUAAUACCGGAUGUCCCUGCCUCCUGGCAUCAGGAGGUGGGGAAAGCUUUUGCGGUCCGGGAGGGCGUCGCGGCCUAUCAGCUUGUUGGUGGGGUGAUGGCCCACCAAGGCGUCGACGGGUAGCUGGUCUGAGAGGACGAUCAGCCACACUGGGACUGAGACACGGCCCAGACUCCUACGGGAGGCAGCAGUGGGGAAUCUUGCGCAAUGGGCGAAAGCCUGACGCAGCAACGCCGCGUGGGGGAUGAAGGCUCUCGGGUUGUAAACUCCUUUCAGCAGGGACGAAAUUGACGGUACCUGCAGAAGAAGCCCCGGCCAACUACGUGCCAGCAGCCGCAGUAAAAC